rnacentral:piRNA from 1 species
UGUUUAUCAAGACAAUAUGUGCACCACUGA